GCCCGCGGAUCUCUCGUCCCCGCCCCACACAGGGCCGGGAUUUGCAGCCGGGCGCGCGCGCGCUCGCUCCCGCCGUCGGACUACUUUCCCUCGCCGCGUGCCCCGCCUCCCGGUUCCACCUCACUUUCCUCCCCGGCGGAGGGGCACUGCUCGGCGAUGCGUAAUGCGUCUCUCUGUGAGCCGCGUCGCUAUUGGGACCAUCCCGUGGCGGAAAUGAGAGCGCGGCGCCCAUUGGUCCGGCCUUCCCUGCAAUGCGUCAAACUGGGAACCAGUCAUGUGGUCUCAUCGCACUGCAAGCAGAUGGAGAAAUAUAUUUUCUCAUACGCCUUUGAUGAAGGAACAGGAAACAGAAUUUGGUGGUCAAGGUGAAGCCCCACGACAAGGACGCCGAAAUGAAAUACCAGGAGUGCAACAAGAUCGUGAAGCAGAAGGCCUUUGAGCAGGCCAUUGCGGGCGACGAGCACAAGCGCUCCGUGGUGGACUCCCUGGACAUCGAGAGCAUGAGUAAGUCGGGCCCAGGCGCCCUGUGCUCCAGCCCAGAGCAUUCCACAUGGGCGCGCUCUAUUCCCUGGGGUGGGAGUGGGCUCGGGGGUAGCCCCUUGUUCUGUCCCCAGGCUGCUGUCUGUCGCUUCUCUGCCUGUGUUCCAGGGCGCUCCAUCCGCAGCCUGAAGCUGGGCCUCACGCUUCCCAGUGGGCGAGAUCAGGAGUUGUAACACCCCCUCAAUAUGGCUUGGCUGUGUCCCAACCCAAAUCUCACCUUGAAUUGUAGCUCCCAUAAUUCCUACAUGUCGUGGGAGGGACCGGGUCAGAGAUAAUUGAAUCCUGGGGGCGGUUUCCCUCGUACUGCACUCCUGCUAGUGAAUAAGUCUCACGAGAUCUGAUGACUUUAUGAGAAGAAGCCCCUUUUCUUGGCUCUCACUCAGCAGCCACUCAUGCAACCAGCAAUACCCAUCUGGAUUAGACAACUUGGAAAACCUAAGGACCCUACCACGCAUGUCUAAGAUGACCGUGCGGCUACCAACAAUGACCGUACACCCAUCUGUCCCAGCCAGUGGUGCUCCCUGAAAGUCAUGCUGUACUAUCUCAUUAUCUCCUCAGCUUGCUCUGUCAAAAGGGGAAAGUUGUUAAAAUAAAAUGGGGGAGCCAGGCGCAGCGGCUCACACCUGUGAUCCCAACACUUUGGGAGGCCA